CAAUAGCGUAUACUAAAGUUGUUGCAGUUAAAAAGCUCGUAGUUGAAUUUCUGGUCGUGGCGAUCGGUCCGCCCCUCACGGGGUGUGCACCUGGUCUCUACGUCCAUCCUCGGGGAGAGCGCGUCUGGCAUUCAGUUGUCGGGUGCGGGAUCCUCGUCAUUUACUGUGAGCAAAAUAGAGUGUUCAAAGCAGGCUUAGGCCGUUGAAUACAUUAGCAUGGAAUAAUAAGAUAGGACCUUGGUCUAUUUUGUUGGUUUGCAUUCCAAGGUAAUGAUUAAUAGGGACAAUUGGGGGCGAUUCGUAUUGACGAGUCAGAGGUGAAAUUCUUGGAUUUCGUUCACGACGAACUACUGCGAAAGCAUUUGUCCAAGGAUGUUUUCUAUUGAUCAAGAACGAAAGUAAAGGGGAGUCGAAGAUGAUCAGAUACCAU
rnacentral:rRNA from 1 species